GACGAACGCUGGCGGCGUGCCUAAUACAUGCAAGUAGAACGCUGAAGCUUGGUGCUUGCACCGAGCGGAUGAGUUGCGAACGGGUGAGUAACGCGUAGGUAACCUGCCUGGUAGCGGGGGAUAACUAUUGGAAACGAUAGCUAAUACCGCAUAAGAGUAGAUGUUGCAUGACAUUUGCUUAAAAGGUGCAAUUGCAUCACUACCAGAUGGACCUGCGUUGUAUUAGCUAGUUGGGUAGGUAACGGCUCACCCAGGCAACGAUACCUAACCCAACUGGGAGGGUGGUCCGCCCACACGGGACCGGGACACGGCCCAAGACUCUACCGGGGGGCGCAGGAAGGGAACCUUGGGAAUGGACCGAAGGCCGACCGAGGAACGCCGGGGGGAUGAAGAAGGGUUUCCGAUCGGAAAGCUCCUUUGAUAGGGAAGAACGAGUGUGAGAGGGGAAAGUUCACACUGUGACGGUAUCUUACCAGAAAGGCACGGCUAACUACGUG
rnacentral:rRNA from 1 species